CCCCUCUCGCGGUCGUACCUGGAGAGUUUCCAGUACUCUACCAGUCUUGGCUACGGGAGGAAGAGCCAAGCAGAGGCCUACCCCUUCCAUUCCCAGCUUGGCCAGCCAGGGGCUAGCGAAUGGAAGGGAAUCUGCUACAAGU